UAUCUGUCAAUCCCCUCAUAACCCACUAAGCUCAAACUCACUGCUUUCCUCCGGAAAGUUUGCUUCUUUGCUACCAAAUCUUAAAGCUUUUGCUUUUCAACAUCCAUGGCUUUAACUCUAAACUUAAAACCCAUCAUUUCUCUAUCCUCUUCUUCAUUUCAUCACCAUCCUUCUUCUUUCUCUCCCUUUUUUUCUAUCAAAACCCAGACCAAGCCUUUCUCUUUCACCACAAGAAUCCAUAAUCUCCAAUACCCAUCUCUCAGUCUCACAUUCUCCAGGAGGUUCUUCAUUCUUCCUUCAGUUUCUGGAAUCUGGGAUGCUUUAACUGGCAAUAACAAUCCCAAAGAUGCUGUAAUUGCUAUAAGACGUGGAAUGUUACUGUUUAGGCAGGGUGAUGUGUCAGGUUCUGUAGUGGAGUUUGACAAGGCAAUUGAAUUAGAUCCCCGACAAAAGGCAUAUCUUUGGCAAAGGGGAUUAUCAUUGUACUAUCUUGAUAGGUUUGAAGAAGCUGCAGAGCAGUUUAGGAUAGAUGUUGCUGAGAACCCUAAUGAUACUGAGGAAUCAAUUUGGUGCUUUCUCUGUGAAGCUCAAUUAUAUGGAGUCGAUGAGGCAAGGCAACGCUUUCUAGAGGUUGGAAGAGAUCCACGGCCUGUCAUGCGGGAAGCUUAUAACUUGUUUAAAGAUGGAGGUGACCCAGAAAAGCUUGUUGCUGCUUUCACCAAUGGACCACAGUACUUCUAUGCAUCUUUAUAUGCAGGACUUUACUAUGAAUCUCAGAAGAAAGCAGAUGCAGCCAAAGUUCAUAUACUUUCAGCAUGCAACUCUCCUUAUGGACAUAGGUCCGAUGACUACAUGGCUUCCCUUGCCAAAGUUCACUGUCUUUGUCGAAAUUGGACCUCUGAGUGAAGUUCCUCACUCAAGCUUAGUAAAAUGAAUUUAAAAGCUGGUUUCAGAGAAAAAAGUUGAAUAACUCACCGCAAUAACACUCCAUAUGCUUCAGUUUUUGGCUCUGGCAACCACGAAAAUCGGAAGAACGGAUACAAAGUUCGGGUCUAAACUCCAUUAUUGCUAUACUUCAGGAAACUAAUUUGCAGAAGCAAGGAUUUGAUUAAGCCUUAACCCAAACUUAAGAUGCAAAGUUGUGAUAUUUUGAAGAUUCUAAGACAAUGUUUUUAGAUUGUUUGUACCUCUAAAUAGGCUCCAAGUUAGCGUACAAUGGAUAGUUGACAAAAGAGCAAGCUUUAACACCUGUUGACAGUGACAAAAUAGUUCCUUUUUGAAGUUUCAAGUACAACUCUGGGUGAUUUCACCUUUGUUUCUUAAUCUAAAAAAUACCCACUCGAUGAAUCCUUAAAAGGGUAAUUCAUAAAUU